GAUGAACGCUGGCGGCGUGCUUAACACAUGCAAGUCGAACGGUGAAGGCGGAGCUUGCUCUGCUGGAUCAGUGGCGAACGGGUGAGUAACACGUGAGCAAUCUGCCCCUGACUCUGGGAUAAGCGCUGGAAACGGCGUCUAAUACUGGAUACGAGCUGCGAAGGCAUCUUCAGCAGCUGGAAAGAACUUCGGUCAGGGAUGAGCUCGCGGCCUAUCAGCUUGUUGGUGAGGUAACGGCUCACCAAGGCAUCGACGGGUAGCCGGCCUGAGAGGGUGACCGGCCACACUGGGACUGAGACACGGCCCAGACUCCUACGGGAGGCAGCAGUGGGGAAUAUUGCACAAUGGGCGAAAGCCUGAUGCAGCAACGCCGCGUGAGGGACGACGGCCUUCGGGUUGUAAACCUCUUUUAGCAGGGAAGAAGCGAAAGUGACGGUACCUGCAGAAAAAGCGCCGGCUAACUACGUG
rnacentral:rRNA from 1 species